GUAAUGCCAGGCAUCGCCGGAGCCCGCUUACCGAAGCUGCCUAAUAGAUUUCUGGCAGCGGUCAAAACCCCUCCCGACCAUGUCCGCUAUAACCCUGACGUAAGGAUUCCUCUUCGCCUUCCAGCUAAUCAGGAUUUGCCAAAGCUGCCUUUAGCCAAUGAGAAUUAAGAGGCUGGCCACCUUUGCCUUAUAAAUUAGCAGGAGGAGGCAGCCCGCUUAGCAAAUUUGUCUUUUUGGUAGGGUGCUUGCAGUGCUUAUAGCAAGUGGGUUUUCUUCUGAGCCGUUGCAGCCAUCCUAUGCUUUGCUAUUCAGCAGCAAAUGGGAGGAGGAGGAUCUAGGGUUGUGUUGAACAAGCCACACCUGGAGCUCAAAAUGUAAAUGAAGUAUUGGAACAUAGAACCUCAAACUUCUAAGGGUUGACAACUAAAAGU